rnacentral:rRNA from 1 species
GACGAACGCUGGCGGCGUGCUUAACACAUGCAAGUCGAACGGAAAGGCCCUGCUUUUGUGGGGUGCUCGAGUGGCGAACGGGUGAGUAACACGGGAGUAACCUGCCCUGGACUUUGGGAUAACUUCAGGAAACUGGGGCUAAUACCGGAUAGGAGCUCCUGCUGCAUGGGGGGGGUUGGAAAGUUUCGGCGGUUGGGGAUGGACUCGCGGCUUAUCAGCUUGUUGGUGGGGUAGUGGCUUACCAAGGCUUUGACGGGUAGCCGGCCUGAGAGGGUGACCGGCCACAUUGGGACUGAGAUACGGCCCAGACUCCUACGGGAGGCAGCAGUGGGGAAUAUUGCACAAUGGGCGGAAGCCUGAUGCAGCAACGCCGCGUGCGGGAUGACGGCCUUCGGGUUGUAAACCGCUUUCGCCUGUGACGAAGCGUGAGUGACGGUAAUGGGUAAAGAAGCACCGGCUAACUACGUG